GGGUGUGAGGGUGAUCUGGCUCUGACAUCUGUCACCUCAUUGAUUGCCUGGGCUGACUCAGCUGAUCUGGCUGGCUAGGCAGGUGUUACCGUCCUCCCUCACUGACUGCUCCAUGUGCCUCUCUCCCAUAGCUGUAUACUUAGUUGAAGAGGACAACCACCCCUGAUAGAGAUCAGAGGUUGUAUGAGUAGUUGUGUUCCCCUGCUACCACCUCCAAACAAGCUCUCAAAACAAAACAAUGAAGAACUUUAAAUCACAGAUUAAAAAAAAAAAAAAAAAGCCAGUGCUCAGAAGCACAUAACUGUAUCCUCGGCCCCUGGCCUCUUCU
ensembl:misc_RNA 7SK 7SK RNA